GGAGAGGUGGCCGAGCUGGUCGAAGGCGCUCCCCUGCUAAGGGAGUAUGGGGUUUAUAGCCUCAUCAAGGGUUCGAAUCCCUUUCUCUCCGCCA
rnacentral:tRNA from 1 species